CCUCUCUCUGCCCCUACCCUGUUCACGCUCUGUCUCUCUCUUCAUUUAGUUGAAUGCUUCAUUCCACAAAUAAACUGAGUCCUGAGAAACUUCAUUUCCAGAACCAAGGAUCCACAGGAGAACCACAUCGUUCUCUGAGGCUCCUUCACUGA